rnacentral:misc_RNA from 1 species
UUGAGCGGCUGCAGGUUGUGC